rnacentral:lncRNA from 1 species
AAAAAGUUGGACACAAGCUACAAAUCACAUAAACUCUACAAAAUUUCAUGUACGGAGAAAACCCUGCGUCACACAGAUACAUGGUUGGAAAAGGAAGGACCUGGCUGGCCCUCUGCAAGAUCUCUGGGCUUACAGUGAUCCUCUCUCAGCCUACACAUUAGGAACCACUGACUGAAUUCUGAAUCCAAUCCGGCAUCACUGUGUUUCUGGAUGGCAAAGUUGAAGAUUCUAGGAUCUUUAUGUUUUGUGUCUACAAUUGGCACCGACGGGUACCCCAGAGAGAAGGCAAAGGCCACUCCAGGAGUCCGCCAACCCUAUAAAGUGAAUGAUGAACACUGUGUGCACACUUUCCAUACGGAAACUCUAAUGGUGUCCUCCUUGCAGCCAAGGUCAGUGGUCUCUGCUGUACAAUGUGAGACCCACGUGCUUAAAGUAAAGGGUCAAAGGGCAGGGGAAGGUAGACCCUGGUCCCCUCAAAUGGGUUCCCAUUCCUUAAUGCCCCGCCCAACACAUCUCUUUGGAAUCCAUGAACUGAGCGUUGUUUGUUUGUUUGUUUUUUACAUUCCAUUUGACCUGACCUAA